GAUGAACGCUGGCGGCGUGCCUAAUACAUGCAAGUCGAGCGAACGGACGAGAAGCUUGCUUCUCUGAUGUUAGCGGCGGACGGGUGAGUAACACGUGGAUAACCUACCUAUAAGACUGGGAUAACUUCGGGAAACCGGAGCUAAUACCGGAUGAUAUUUUGAACCGCAUGGUUCAAAAGUGAAAGACGGUCUUGCUGUCACUUAUAGAUGGAUCCGCGCUGCAUUAGCUAGUUGGUAAGGUAACGGCUUACCAAGGCAACGAUGCAUAGCCGACCUGAGAGUGGGCUCGGCCACACUGGCCCUGACACACGCCACAGACUCCCACGGGGCGCACCAGUGGGGAAUCUUCCCCAAUGGGAGAAAGCCUGACGGACCAACGCCGGGUGAGAUAUUAAGGUCUUCCGACCUUAACACUUUUUUAUUAGGAAAAAAAUAUUGUUUAAUUAACUGUCCCACUUUUGACGGUCCCUAAUCAGAGAGCCAGGGCUAACUACGU
rnacentral:rRNA from 1 species